ensembl:lncRNA
AGGGUUGCAUGGUGUAGCUUUUCCUGCACCGGAGCAGCCUGGUGGAGACGCCACUGAGGUUUCCACGGCAACAGAGAAACGGACUCUGUCAGAAACCCAGCAUUCCAUUUUCACAUGAAGGGUUUUUUGUUUGGAUAUUGUAGUCCAUGAACGGGCCAGAAACUGGACGCCAUUUUGUCAGCCAUUGCUGUGAGGUCAUCUUUACAGUUCACAGAAAAUCACUUAGGGGGCUGACCGUACCCAACACCUGACUUAUUUCCUUGUAAAUUUUGUACAGUACCUGAAAAUUUUGUGUUUCAUUUGAAGAUAAAUAUGACAUUUUGAUAUAUGUGUCAUUUUUCCCUUUCCUUUGUCUUAUAAAUUGAGGAGAGGAUUUUGCCAGUAAUAUUAAUGUGUGAAAAAAAGAACUAAUUUCUGGCAGCUUGAAAACAUAUGACCUUUCCUGUUUUCUCAUUUUUUAAAUGGUGGGUUUAGGGUGUUGCUGCCGUGAAUCAUUGUGGUUAACCAUCUGAAAUGAUGAAACCAUCGGGGUCCAGUGUUUCUCAGAUUUAUCCAUCUUAUCCUGUGGUGUGGCCUGGAACAAGAAGUCUUGCCUGUACAUUUAUUUUACUUUUUUUAUUUUAAUUCCGUUUAUUUGAUUUGAGUUUGCGUAGUCCUGGUAAGAGUUUCUAGAGAACCGUGCACUGAAAAUGUCCAGACUGAGUUGAAAUGUUGUAGGUGAUGUAGGCUGAAGGAUGACAAAGUUAAAAAAGAAAAAGACGUUCAUUUUCACUGUGUUCUAUACAGUACCUACGUUUCUUUUGUUCACUUGGAACAUUUUUACUUCACAUUUCAAAACGUAUUGUGCAAAGAGAUGUCAUUUUUUGGAGUACUUGAAAUGCAUUAAUAAAAAGACUCAGUUGAACCUCUUUUCCCAAGGCUGUCUGUCUGUACAGGGCAGGGGUCUGCCUGUCUGUCUGUCUGUCUGUGUAGGGCAGGUUUGUGUCUGUCUGUCUGUGUAGGGCAGGUUUGUGUCUGUC